rnacentral:lncRNA from 1 species
UAGAGGAGGCAGGUAGCCUAGUGGUUAGAGGAGACUGGUAGCCUAGUGGUUAGAGGAGGCAGGUAGGCUAGUGGUUAGAGGAGGCAGGUAGACUAGUGGUUAGAGGAGACAGGUAGCCUAGUGGUUUGAGGAGGCAGGUAGUCUAGUGGUUAGAGAAGAGAGGUAGCCUAGUGGUUAGAGGAGGGAGGUAGCCUAGUGGUUUGAGGAGGCAGGUAGACUAGUGGUUAGAGGAGGCAGGUAGCCUAGUGGUUAGAGGAGGCAGGUAGACUAGUGGUUAGAGGAGGCAGGUAGACUAGUGGUUAGAGGAGGCAGGUAGCCUAGUGGUUAGAGGAGAGGAGGUAGACUAGUGGUUAGAGGAUACAGGUAGCCAAAUGGUUAGAGGAGGGAGGUAGACUAGUGGUUAGAGGAGACAGGUAGCCAAGUGGUUAGAGGAGGGAGGUAGCCUAGUGGUUAGAGGAGGCAGGUAGACUAGUGGUUAGAGGAGACAGGUAGCCAAGUGGUUAGAGGAGACUGGUAGCCUAGUGGUUAGAGGAGGCGGGUAGCCUAGUUGUUAGAGGAGGCAGGUAGCCUAGUGGUUAGAGGAGAGGAGGUAGACCAGUGGUUAGAGGAGACAGGUAGACUAGUGGUUAGAGGAGACAGGUAGCCAAGUGGUUAGAGGAGGCAGGUAGCCUAGUGGUUAGAGGAGGCAGGUAGACUAGUGGUUAGAGGAGACAGGUAGCCUAGUGGUUAGAGGAGACUGGUAGCCUAGUGGUUAGAGGAGGCAGGUAGCCUAGUGGUUAGAGGAGACAGGUAGCCUAGUGGUUAGAGGAGGCAGGUAGCCUAGUGGUUAGAGGAGGGAGGAUGACUAGUGGUUAGAGGAGGCAGGUAGCCUAGUGGUUAGAGGAGGCAGGUAGCCUAGUGGUUAGAGGAGGCAGGUAGACUAGUGGUUAGAGGAGGCAGGUAGACUAGUGGUUAGAGGAGACAGGUAGUCUAGUGGUUAGAGGAGGCAGGUAGCCUAGUG